rnacentral:rRNA from 1 species
GACGAACGCUGGCGGCGUGCCUAAUACAUGCAAGUUGAGCGCUGAAGGUUGGUACUUGUACCAACUGGAUGAGCAGCGAACGGGUGAGUAACGCGUGGGGAAUCUGCCUUUGAGCGGGGGACAACAUUUGGAAACGAAUGCUAAUACCGCAUAAAAACUUUAAACACAAGUUUUAAGUUUGAAAGAUGCAAUUGCAUCACUCAAAGAUGAUCCCGCGUUGUAUUAGCUAGUUGGUGAGGUAAAGGCUCACCAAGGCGAUGAUACAUAGCCGACCUGAGAGGGUGAUCGGCCACAUUGGGACUGAGACAGGGCCCAAACUCCUACGGGAGGCAGCAGUAGGGAAUCUUCGGCAAUGGACGAAAGUCUGACCGAGCAACGCCGCGUGAGUGAAGAAGGUUUUCGGAUCGUAAAACUCUGUUGGUAGAGAAGAACGUUGGUGAGAGUGGAAAGCUCAUCAAGUGACGGUAACUACCCAGAAAGGGACGGCUAACUACGUG